rnacentral:tRNA from 2 species
GGCUGGUUGGCGAAAUGGUAUCGCGUUGCUUUCCGGUGGCAAAGAUUGCGGGUUCGAGUCCCGUGCUGGUCG